AAACACUGCCGCCGACGAGUGCCGCCUGAUUCAAGAUUCCUCCUCGAUAAACUUUCGAAUAAAAUAGCGUAAAAUACAACCAUCAGUAACGAAAACACCGUAAACAGUAGCUGAAUCCUUGCAGCAUCAAGUCCUAGUAAAAGUUUGUGGAAAAAAAAGUAUUAACGGCACGGAAAGAGGGAGCUAAACAUCGCCUUUCAGUACCUUCCGCGUUUGAGGUUAGAUUCACCAUGGAUUUCAGCGCCCUACUCCAGCAGGCCCAGAAGCUGACCCACGAAACGCAGGUUUCCGAUGACCUCCCGCGUGUGGAACGCACCUUGCCGCAGGUGCUGCAGGCAACACAGGAGCUGCACUCCCGUGUAUCUCAAACCGGAACGCAGGACAUGCAAGCGCACAUCCUUCUGGGGCACAAAGGGAUCGAUCUGCCGAAAAUUUCGCAAAAGUUGGAAACGUUGAGCUCGAGGAAGACUUUCGAGCCGUUGGAUCCGAUAGCCACGACCGAUAUCCAGAGCUUCCUGCGAAACGAGAAGGAAAAUGCCAUUCUUUCUGUGAUUGAGGAAGUGCACAAGAACUCGUACCAGUCAGCGCAGAACCAGAAGUGGGAGCACACGAUGAACGAUUGGAAGCUGGAGAAGGUAAAGUUGAUGAAUGCGUUGAUUGGACCGUCGCAGAACUGGAUCGACAUCCGGAAGGGUCCCGAACAGACGAUCCUGAACGAAAGUACCUUUGGGGGACGUUCGUCACUGAACAAUCAGGAGAUGGCCUACGCCAGAGAGGUCUAUGAGUACAACAAGUUGGUCAAUGAGGGAGCGAUGCGACCAUCGUUGGUUCAACGAUUUGCCCAAGUAGCGGAGAACUUUAACGAUUCAAAGGUGAACGACAUCUGGGAGAUAAUGAAGUACAUGACGAAUGUGACGCCGAGUCCGAGGACGCAGGAUCCGCUGAGGACUCGUUGCACGCAGGCGCAGUUCAUUGAGCAAGCGAAGCGAUAUUUGGAGAAUCGAUACAAACUGUUCAUGCAGACGGUCAUUUCGGAACAUUUGCGAGACGCCCAGCGAGGAGGAAUUCCCAGCGUUCUGAAUUUGGUCGGAUCGUUCGUGGGGUUGAAAUUUGCCAAUCAAAAUACUUCUACAUACAUCGGACUGCAGGAUGGACAUGUGGAAGGCAAGCCCCUAUGGCCGAUGGUUUACUACUGUUUGAGAUGCGGUGAUAUCGAUGCGGCACUGAAAUGUAUGCAGAUGGCGGGGCCGGAACAUGACGACUUCAUUGCUAUAUUGGAGGAGAAAUGUAGACAGCCUGGGCAGAAGAUAAGCCAGAAGCUGGAGCAGCAGAUUCGGAUGCAGUACAAGAGGCAAAUUCGAAAUGCGAUCGAUCCGUACAAGCGCGCCGUGUACUGCAUUAUCGGCUGUUGUGACAUCCAGGAACAACAUCCGGAGGUGGCCAAGAGUUCGGACGAUUUCCUGUGGCUUCAGCUGUCUUUGAUUCGACCGGAAACGAACGAAAAUGCGGACCAUCUGACCUACUCCACUCUGCAGGCCAUGGUCCUGGAGCAGUACGGAGAGAAGCACUUCAAUGCCAACGAGCAGCCACAUUUGUACUAUCAGGUUCUGGCUCUGACCGGUCAGUUCGAGGCGGGAAUCGAGUUUCUUGCGCGUUUUGAAAAGUACCGAGCUCAUGCCGUGCAUAUUGCGCUGGCACUGAACGAGCUGCACAUGAUCGGAGGUCCUCGAAAUCUGCAGGAACCGUUGUUAUCGGUAGACAUCGAGGAUCCGCAGCCCAUGCGACGUCUCAACAUUGCCCGACUGAUAAUGCUCUACGUAAAGAAAUUUGAAAUUACCGAUCCGGCUGAAGCUCUGCAGUACUUUUUCUUUUUGCGCAGUCUGCGGGACACCGAAGGGCGGAAUCUGUUCCUGGUGUGCGUUUCCGAUCUGGCCAUCGAGUGUCGGGAUUUCGAUCUUCUGUUCGGCAAAAUGCAACGGGAUGGAAUCCGUUCGCGCGGGUUGAUCGAUCAGUUCGAGAGCGGCCACAUCGAUGCCAAAAUGUCCUGUGAAAUGAUUGCCGAGGAGUUUGUCAAGAAGGGAAUGUUCGAAGAUGCCAUUCAAUUGUUCGAUCUGGCUGGCAACCACGAGCAAGCUUUGCGGUACACGUCGGUCCUGCUGUCCCAAGUGGUUCACCAACCGAACAAAUCUGGUUCCCUGCGGGCACGUCUACAGCAGCUGGCCUUGGAGUUCACUGACCGCUACGCAGGAGCAGAGAAGAACUGCGAUCCGCAAACAUGGUCCACUUUCAGCCUGCUGAAGGAACUGGUCCUCUUCUUCGACCACUACCACAAUCGUAACUAUCAACCGGCGUUGGAAGUGCUCGAAAGGACCAAACUGGUCCCGCUGAAGAUGUCCGAUUUGGAGGCAUGUUUACACAAUUUCAGACGCCUCGGAGGCGAAGUUUGCAAAGUACUUCCUGAUCUACUGCUGGCCACGAUGGACAUCGCCUACAAUAAGUACAAAGUCCUCAAAGGAAGGGACGAUAUGAACGAUUUGAAGAUGAAGCAACUAAGCUACCUCCGCGAACAGGCCAAGGCUCUGACUAACAUGGCAGCAACCGUUCCAUAUCGAAUGCCAGGUGACACCAACAAUCGUCUCGUGCAGACGGAAAUUCUCAUGCACUAGCAGAUUCCUCCUUCAAUUUUUGUUUAUUGCCAAUAAGUCACAUCCUUAGUGUAAGUCCAACUCGUAACGCUGAAAUCCUUGCUCAGAUCGUCGUACACUCCCUCCUUGAAGGCCUUGUAGUCCAGCACCAUGUCCUUGAAGGCGAGGAAAUCCGUCAGAGUGUACAGCAGUUCGAAUAUUUCCCCAUCCAGUUGGGACUUUUUGUUCUCCAACUCGAGCGCAAACAGAUCCAUGUCGAAGUAGCUCAUCUUGUCGUUCAAGCUCUCCACGAUGAACGUCUCGAUCAGAUUGGUGUACUUCUGGUAGA